rnacentral:rRNA from 1 species
ACGUAGGGUGCAAGCGUUGUCCGGAAUUAUUGGGCGUAAAGAGCGUGUAGGCGGCUCGGUAAGUCCGCUCUGAAAGCCCGGGGCUCAACCCCGGGAGGCGGGCGGAUACUGUCGGGCUAGAGUCCGGAAGAGGCGAGUGGAAUUCCUGGUGUAGCGGUGAAAUGCGCAGAUAUCAGGAGGAACACCUAUAGCGAAGGCAGCUCGCUGGGACGGCACUGACGCUGAGACGCGAAGGCGUGGGGAGCAAACAGGA